AGAGUUUGAUCCUGGCUCAGGACGAACGCUGGCGGCGUGGAUUAGGCAUGCAAGUCGAACGGUAGAUACUCCUUCGGGGGUAUUGAGAGUGGCGAACGGGUGAGUAACACGUAGAUGAUCUACCCUCAAAUGGGGGACAACCCAGGGAAACUUGGGCUAAUACCGCAUGAGUGCAGCGCAUAAAUUAUCUUUUGCUGGGUAAUUUAUGCGCUGUAUAAAAGAUGGCUUUCGGGCUGUCGUUUGGGGAUGAGUCUGCGUCCUAUUAGUUAGUUGGUGAGGUAAUGGCUCACCAAGGCGAUGAUAGGUAGGCGGCCUUAACGGGUGGCCGCCCACACUGGGAUUGAGAUACGGCCCAGACUCCUACGGGAGGCAGCAGUCGAGAAUAGUCUACAAUGGACGAAAGUCUGAUAGUGCGACGCCGCGUGAACGAAGAAUCCCUUCGGGGUGUAAAGUUCUUUUAUAUGUGAGCAAUGCUUUUUAUGUGAAUAGCAUGAGAAGAGAGAUAUUAGCAUAUGAAUAAGCAACGGCUAACUCCGUGCCAGCAGCCGCGGUAACACGGGGGUUGCAAGCGUUGUCCGGAAUUACUAGGCGUAAAGGGCAGGUAGGCGGAUCCAUAAGUUUGAUGUUAAAGGCAGCGGCUCACCCGCUGUACGGCGUCAGAUACUGUGGAUCUGGAAUGCGGUUGGGGAAGACAGAAUUCCUGGUGUAGCGGUGGAAUGCGCAGAGAUCAGGAGGAAUACCAAAGGCGAAGGCAGUCUUCUAAGCCGUUAUUGACGCUAAACUGCGAAGGUGUGGGUAUCAAACAGGAUUAGAUACCCUGGUAGUCCACACAGUAAACGAUAAUCACUAGGUGUCGGGUUCGUAGAGAAUUCGGUGCCGUAGCUAACGCGAUAAGUGAUUCGCCUGGGGAGUACGAUCGCAAGGUUGAAACUCAAAGGAAUUGACGGGGGCCCGCAC
rnacentral:rRNA from 1 species